UGCGUAGGCUGUGUUGUAAGUCAGAGGUGAAAUCCCGGGGCUCAACCCCGGAACUGCCUCCGAUACUGCAAGACUUGAGGACUGGAGAGGAGAUUGGAAUUCAUGGUGGAGCAGUGAAAUGCGUAGAUAUCAUGAGGAACGCUAGUGGCGUAGGCGAAUCUCUGGACAGUUCCUGACGCUGGGGCACGAAGGCCAGGGGAGCAAACG
rnacentral:rRNA from 1 species